rnacentral:rRNA from 1 species
UAAACCCAUAGGCGCAAUGAAAGUGAAGGUUACGCCUCGCGCGGAACCGAGGGAAGACGGGGGUUGUGCCGCGUGCUUUCAGCCGUGGUUACGCCCUCUGCAUUCCCGGGGCGUCUCGUCCUCAUUGNGAGGUGAGGCGCACCUAGAGCGCACACGUUGGGACCCGAAAGAUGGUGACCUAUGCCUGGCCAGGACNAAGUCAGGGGAAACCCUGAUGGAGGUCCGUAGCGAUUCUGACGUGCAAAUCGAUCGUCGGAGCUGGGUAUAGCGGCGAAAGACUCAUCGAACUAUCUAGUAGCUGGUUCCCUCCGAAGUUUCCCUCAGGAUAGCUGGNGCUCAAAACGAGUCUCAUCCGGUAAAGCGAAUGAUUAGAGGCCUUGGGGCCGAAAACGACCUCAACCUAUUCUCAAACUUUAAAUGGGUGAGAUCUCCGGCUUGCUUAAUUGAAGCCGCGAGAAUGUUAUUUCUUCUCGGAUCGGAGUGCCAAGUGGGCCACUUUUGGUAAGCAGAACUGGCGCUGUGGGAUGAACCAAACGCCGAGUUAAGGCGCCCGAAUCGACGCUCAUGGGAAACCAUGAAAGGCGUUGGUUGCUUAUGACAUCAGGNCGGNGGCCAUGGAAGUCGG